rnacentral:rRNA from 1 species
GUGAACGCUGGCGGUAGGCCUAACACAUGCAAGUCGAACGGCAGCACCGUAAGAGCUUGCUCUUACGGGUGGCGAGUGGCGGACGGGUGAGGAAUGCAUCGGAAUCUACUUUUUCGUGGGGGAUAACGUAGGGAAACUUACGCUAAUACCGCAUACGACCUACGGGUGAAAGCAGGGGAUCUUCGGACCUUGCGCGAUUGAAUGAGCCGAUGUCGGAUUAGCUAGUUGGCGGGGUAAAGGCCCACCAAGGCGACGAUCCGUAGCUGGUCUGAGAGGAUGAUCAGCCACACUGGAACUGAGACACGGUCCAGACUCCUACGGGAGGCAGCAGUGGGGAAUAUUGGACAAUGGGCGCAAGCCUGAUCCAGCCAUACCGCGUGGGUGAAGAAGGCCUUCGGGUUGUAAAGCCCUUUUGUUGGGAAAGAAAAGCAGCAGGUUAAUACCCCGCUGUUCUGACGGUACCCAAAGAAUAAGCACCGGCUAACUUCGUG